GGCCGCAUGGAGUGAGUACUGUCUCUGGCCACCGAGCAGAGCCAGUGACAGCAGCGUCCUGGUAGGCAGGCAGGCGUAUCAGGUUUCAGAGGAUGCGGCUGGGAACGGGAGUAGAGGUAUAUGAGCUCCCUGAAAGCACAAAGCAGUUAUUUCCAUCUUCAGAUCAUUCAGAGAUUAUGAAGGCACAAACCCUGCCUUCAAUUUGCUUAUAGUCAAGUGGAGCAGACACAAGUCAAUGAUUGCAGUAUAGCCACUGAAGUAAUCUAAAAGAGGUGAGUGUGGCACUUAACCUCUCCUGGGAGGGGGAGGAAUAAGGCAGUGUUUCCAAGAGGUGAUUUUGGAGCUAUACAGGCAUUAGGUAGACAAGGAAGGGGAGGUCCAUUCUGGGUGCCUAGGACUCUGUGGCUGAUUUAUAAAUCGUAAAUGGUACAAAAAACAGUGUUGAGUAUCUUUUACCUUUCUCCAGAGUACUGUUCUUACUUUUGGAUAGUGCUUCUUGUUUUUUCCUUCCCUCUCCCUGUCCCUGUCACCUUUAAAUUAAAUGAAUGUUUGGAAGGAAGUAGGAGGGUAAGAAUCUUUCUGGGUGGCAGAAUAAUAGAUGGGUCUACCAAGAGCGAUGUAUAUACCCAGUAAAGCCAUCUCUAAAACUGUGUUUCUGCAUUGUUACAGUGCAUAGUUGGGAAAUCUCAGUUUUGUUGGCUGUGUACUUUCCCAGUGAAUGGAUUAUAUUCCUUUCUGCGAGCCAGUCUGUUUGAAUUUAAGGGCAUCUCUUAAAUUCCUUUCAAGCAAGAGACCUAACAUUUAUACUUAGGAAUGAG
rnacentral:lncRNA from 10 species